UACAGAGGUGGCAAGCGUUGUUCGGAAUUACUGGGCGUAAAGGGCGCGUAGGCGGCCAUCUAAGUCAGACGUGAAAUCCCCCGGCUUAACCUGGGAACUGCGUCUGAUACUGGACGGCUCGAGUAUGGGAGAGGGAUGUAGAAUUCCAGGUGUAGCGGUGAAAUGCGUAGAUAUCUGGAGGAAUACCGGUGGCGAAGGCGGCAUCCUGGACCGGUAUUGACGCUGAGGCGCGAAAGCCAGGGGAGCAAACGGG
rnacentral:rRNA from 1 species